rnacentral:lncRNA from 1 species
UAGAAGUCAGGUCGGAUUAAGCCAUAGUACGGAAAAAACUAUGCUACCUGUGAGCCCCGUCCAAGGACGUUAAAAGAAGUCAGGCCAUCACAAAUGCCAUAGCUUGAGUAAACUGUGCUGCCUGUAGCUCCACCUGAGAAGGUGUAAAAAA